UCCCUUGUUAAAACACUCAGGGGGCUUUCGCCAACAACCCAAGAUGGGCAGAGCAAAAGACCACUUGUGGGUGAAGUGGCGGCAUGUUGUGCUGUUUGGUUUCAAUCAGACAAGA
ensembl:snoRNA